GCUGGGCGCCGUGGCUCAAGCCUGUAAUCCCAGCACUUUGGGAGGCCGAGAUGGGCGGAUCACAAGGUCAGAAGAUCGAGACCAUCCUGGCUAAACGGUGAACCCCCAUCUCUACUACAAACACAAAAAAUUAGCCAGGGAUGUUGGCAGGCGCCUGUAAACCCAGCUACUUGGGNNNNNNNNNNCCCAAGUAGCUGGGUUUACAGGCGCCUGCCAACAUCCCUGGCUAAUUUUUUGUGUUUGUAGUAGAGAUGGGGGUUCACCGUUUAGCCAGGAUGGUCUCGAUCUUCUGACCUUGUGAUCCGCCCAUCUCGG
rfam:Chlorocebus sabaeus isolate 1994-021 chromosome 24, whole genome shotgun sequence.